UUAUGCAUGCAGUCGAACGAAGCCCCUCGCUUCGGUGAGGGUGACUGAGUGGCGACGGCUGAGUAACGCGUAGGUGAUCUGUCCCGAGGUGGGGAACAACCCGUGGAAACGCGGGCUAAUGCCCCAUAAUCCCAGUCGGUUCGGACCGAUGGGGAAAGUUCCGGCGCCUUGGGAGGAGCCUGCGUCCGAUUAGCUAGUUGGUGAGGUAACGGCUCACCAAGGCAACGAUCGGUAGCUGGUCUGAGAGGAUGAUCAGCCAGACUGGGACUGAACACGGCCCAGACUCCUACGGGAGGCAGCAGCAAGGAAUCUUGCGCGAAUGGGCGAAAGCCUGACGCAGGCAACGCCGCGUGGGUGAUGAAGGCCUUCGGGUUGUAAAUCCCUUUUGUCGGGGUAAGAACUUUGACGGUACCCGGCGAAUAAGCCAGCGGGGUAACUGCGUGCCAGCAGCCGCGGUAAGACGUAGGUGGCUGAGCGUUAUCCGGAUUUACUGUGCGUAAAGGGUACGUAGGCGGCGCCGUUAGUCUGCCGUGAAAUCUCCCGGCUCAACCGGGAGCGGCCGGUGGAAACUGCGGCGCUCGAGGGGCGUACAGGCAAGCGUAAUUCCCGGACUAGUGAUGCAAUGCGUAGAUACCGGUAGGGAACACCAUCGGCGCGAGCGACUUGCCUUACGCAUCCUGACGCUGAGGUACGAACGCGUGCGUAGCGAACCGGAUUACAUACCCG
rnacentral:rRNA from 1 species